rnacentral:rRNA from 1 species
AUGAACGCUGGCGGCGUGCCUCAUACCUGCAAGUCGAGCGCACGGACGAGAAGCUUGCUUCUCUGAUGUUAUCGGCGGACGGGUGAGUAACACGUGGAUAACCUACCUAUAAGACUGGGAUAACUUCGGGAAACCGGAGCUAAUACCGGAUAAUAUUUUGAACCGCAUGGUUCAAAAGUGAAAGACGGUCUUGCUGUCACUUAUAGAUGGAUCCGCGCUGCAUUAGCUAGUUGGUAAGGUAACGGCUUACCAAGGCAACGAUGCAUAGCCGACCUGAGAGGGUGAUCGGCCACACUGGAACUGAGACACGGUCCAGACUCCUACGGGAGGCAGCAGUAGGGAAUCUUCCGCAAUGGGCGAAAGCCUGACGGAGCAACGCCGCGUGAGUGAUGAAGGUCUUCGGAUCGUAAAACUCUGUUAUUAGGGAAGAACAUAUGUGUAAGUAACUGUGCACAUCUUGACGGUACCUAAUCAGAAAGCCACGGCUAACUACGUG